UGAGACUGAAAGGAAAAAAACAUACUGUUACUGGUUUCAAUCCAGUGCACAACAGAUCAAAAGUGAUCUGAACAGAUUUUCAAGUGCACAACAGAUCAAAAACAUGAGGGAGUGGAUAGGCACAAUGAGAAAGUAGAAUAUUGAGUGCAAUAUCUGCAAAACUCCUUUCAUUGUACGCUCCAGGUUUCUUGAGCGCGUGUAUCAGUCACCUUUAUGUAUGCACACACCAUUUGUGUACACAGUUCUCUGGAUUUGGUUAUCUUAGACCAGGAGUCGAUGGCACUUCAGGAGUUGAACACAGUGUGCUGUGCUGCUCAAUAACCAUCGCGUGGCUUUGCUCUUGGACAUGGGUAGAAAGCACUAUCUUUUCAUCAAAACACACCCCUGGUUUCUUUUAUUUCCAAACAAAACCUUCUCACUGCUGUGGAUUUUACAGUUGAGGUGUUGUUGAGAGAUGAGUGACACGUUAUCUUCAUCAAGAUCACAGCUUAUUCUGAAGACUGACACAAAGUUGCACCUUUAGCUCAAAGAGCUUUCUUACCAUUUCUCUUGCAAAGGACAUCUCUGUUUCCCCCUCCAACUUCUGUUUUAUUGCUGAAGGAUGUUCCAUGCCUUUCCCACAUCCUGUGACACAGCAAGAGUAGCAGGGAAGAGAAGGCUUGAUUGUCAACAUUGCUCAAGCAGCAUUUGUUGUCCUGAGGUGCUGACUCCAGUGGAAGAGAUUUUAGUGGAAGCUUCUCCUGCAGUGUGCACAAGCUUCAUUUCAGGGUGAUAUGGUGUCCAGUUGCUGCUUGAAGUACUCCCUCUAGCCUAGAGAAUAUUUGCUUGCUCAUAUAGAGUGAACCUUCUGUGCUCUUGGCUUCUGACUGGUUAGGAAAUGCCCUCAGGAAGAUGGAGAUGAAAGUUCAGAUACAGAGAAAGGAGGGAAUUGUGAUUCUUGAGCAGGGAUUGUUACCACUCAGAGAGGAGAGCAACCUGGAGCUCAAGCAGGAGAGGUGCUCUUCAGAUGGCUCUCCACAUUGUCUUCCCUAACACACCAGUGAGGCACGAGACCAGGGCAGAAAUUCCAGUGUGGGGAGGGUGUGAGUCAUGAGAUGACACUGACCAUUAGGAAGACACUGCUGCAGAGUCUGAAACCAAACCAGCCUGUUCCUUGUUCUCAAGUCAUCUUGGGUUGGAAGCUGCUGAAAACUUCCUUCUGGAUAAAUAACUGUGACGUCCCCAUCAUGCCCAGAAUUGGAUUUCUUCACUGGGAUUACUGAAACACUGGUCUGCUCCGAGGCUUCUCUCAUAGAGGAAUUGUUCAGCUCCACAACAGGAGUGAGAAAAGUUUAAAUGCUUUGGGGCUCACUCCCAGGCACAAGACUUUAUUAUCUGAGCUUUUGUUUGGAAAUAAAUUGAGUUCUUGUCAUAGAUUUGGCAUCUUCUCCCGUGGUUCUUACAUAUCAAAUUUUCUCAUCAUUCUGGAAGAAGAUUCAAGUGUUUGUUCUCUUUCUUUUAUUGGCACUCAUCUUUAUUUAUUUUGUAUUCUUGAGAUGUGCUGCAUCUCUGGAGUUUGUAUUUCUACUUUUAGUGAAAAAUGCUGUACAUAAAAGUCUAGAAUGCAUCUGAAGUUUAGUCUAAUUUUUCAUGUGACUUUGACUUGAACAUUUUUCUGUUUAUGUUUAUAUUUCUAUUUCAAAUAUGUGCAUUACCUGUAUUCUUUAAGCCUUUUCCCCAUCUAUAACUCAAUAAAAUAAUGUCCACGUUCUUCAGAA